UGGGGGAUUUUGCACAAUGGGCGCAAGCCUGAUGCAGCGACGCCGCGUGAGGAUGAAGGCCUUCGGGUUGUAAACCUCUUUCGCUGGGUUGAAAGGCCAUGCUUUGGGUGUGGUUGAUUUGAACUGGUAAAGAAGUACCGGCUAACUACGUGCCAGAAGCCGCGGUAAUACGUAGGGUACUAGCGUUGUCCGGAUUUAUUGGGCGUAAAGGGCUUGUAGGGGGUUUGUCGCGUCUGUCGUGAAAUCCUGUGGCUUAACCAUGGGCUUGCGGUGGGUACGGGCAGGCUUGAGUGCGGUAGGGGAGACUGGAAUUCCUGGUGUAGCGGUGGAAUGCGCAGAUAUCAGGAGGAACACCGGUGGCGAAGGCGGGUCUCUGGGCCGUUACUGACACUGAGGAGCGAAAGCGUGGGGAGCGAACAGG
rnacentral:rRNA from 1 species